rnacentral:rRNA from 1 species
GGUCAAGCUACGAAGGGCUUACGGU